UACGGAGGGGGCUAGCGUUGUUCGGAAUUACUGGGCGUAAAGCGCACGUAGGCGGCUUUGUAAGUUAGAGGUGAAAGCCCGGAGCUCAACUCCGGAAUAGCCUUUAAGACUGCAUCGCUAGAACGUUGGAGAGGUAAGUGGAAUUCCGAGUGUAGAGGUGAAAUUCGUAGAUAUUCGGAAGAACACCAGUGGCGAAGGCGACUUACUGGACAACUGUUGACGCUGAGGUGCGAAAGCGUGGGGAGCAAAUAGG
rnacentral:rRNA from 1 species